rnacentral:rRNA from 1 species
GAUGAACGCUGGCGGCGUGCCUAAUACAUGCAAGUCGAGCGAACGGAUGAGGAGCUUGCUCCUCUGACGUUAGCGGCGGACGGGUGAGUAACACGUGGAUAACCUACCUAUAAGACUGGGAUAACUUCGGGAAACCGGAGCUAAUACCGGAUAAUAUAUUGAACCGCAUGGUUCAAUAGUGAAAGACGGUUUUGCUGUCACUUAUAGAUGGAUCCGCGCCGCAUUAGCUAGUUGGUAAGGUAACGGCUUACCAAGGCAACGAUGUGUAGCCGACCUGAGAGGGUGAUCGGCCACACUGGAACUGAGACACGGUCCAGACUCCUACGGGAGGCAGCAGUAGGGAAUCUUCCGCAAUGGGCGAAAGCCUGACGGAGCAACGCCGCGUGAGUGAUGAAGGUCUUCGGAUCGUAAAACUCUGUUAUUAGGGAAGAACAAAUGUGUAAGUAACUAUGCACGUCUUGACGGUACCUAAUCAGAAAGCCACGGCUAACUACGUG